rnacentral:tRNA from 1 species
UGAACUUUAAGUUAUUGAAACUAAGAGCCUUCAAAGCUUUAAAAAAGCGCUGCUUAAGUUUAA